ensembl:lncRNA
CUCGCGAGCCGCGAGCUUCGAGAGGGGGACGCAUUGGGAACACUUGCUGCAAGGCCAGGUGAUGGCGAGCUAGACCCAAAGAAUUCUAGGCCCACACCGCCUGAAGAACCCUGGAGCGUGAACUGAACUGGACCUCCUGCACCUCCUCCACCUGGUUGGGCUGGUAGGAGGCUCCUUUAAGGCAGCCGCCCCUUUCUUUUACUUUUUGCCCCUCGCAACAACUCAUUCUUGGCCCAAACCCAUUCACCACUCGUUCAACACUCCCUUUCCCUGGACACUGCCCUUUCCCUCUGGACGAUUUGGGCCACUGAACUGUUGUGUGUGUUCUAUCUCGGGUGAACUUCAGAACUCUUUCGCGCGUCUAAUGGAUCGUUUCUCGCGUGAUAAUGGAUCCAUCGAAUAAUGUUUUCUUGUGAAAUAAUUGUGACUUAAUUCUGUACUUCUCAUGAAUGGCCAUUAACUUUAAAUGUUAAAUGUUGUUUGUCUAUGUCAAAAUAUAAUAUAAUUGGUACCACCUAAAACUUAUAUCAUUGUGUUCAGUCUCCUUUCCUCCACUCCUAGAGCCGAACUUAGAUCUGUCUGAUCUCUAGCCCAAUUCAACCAAUACUCUAACUGCAAACUAGUACUAAUACAGCGCUAAUAGUAGCGGCAUAUAGGCUACACUAGACCAUGACAAGUUGUUUUGAUCAUCAAGUAAAAUAUUAGAUUGUUCAUUGUUCUUUUGUCAUUUUGUCUCAUUUCUGUAAUAUUUUGUCUUGCUUUUGUUGUUUUGUCUUUUUUGUCUUGCUUUAGUCGUUUGUGUAAUUUUUUGUCGUUUUGUUUCUCGUUUUUGUCGUUUUGUUUCCGUUUGUCUCGCUUGUGUUUAUCUCACUUCUGCCAUUUGUGUUUUGUUUUAUUCAUUGUUUUGUGUAUUGUUUGUGUCGUUUUGUGCUUCCUUAUUGUCUCGCUUGUGUCAUUUGUCAAUUUUUUGUCAUUUUGUUUCUCAUUUUUGUCAAUUUGUGUCUCAUUUUUGUAAUAUUUUGUCUUGUUUUUGGUUUUUUUGACUUUUUUUGUCUGGCUUUUGUUGUUUGUCUCAUUUUUGUCAUUUUGUGUGCCAUUUUUGCAAUUUUUGUCUAAUUUUUGUAUUUUUUCCUCUUGUUUUGGUCAUUUUGU